rnacentral:rRNA from 1 species
GGAUGUUCCGUAGAGUCUGCCACGAAUGUGGUAUGUACUUACAUGCGACGUCCAUCCUCGAAGGGAACUUAUGUGUCAUUGAGUUGAUGUGUAAGGUAACUUCGUCAUUUACUGUGAGCAAAAUAGGGUGUUCAAAGCAGGCUUAUGCCGUUGAAUACAUUAGCAUGGAAUAAUAAGAUAGGACCUCGGUCUAUUUUGUUGGUUGUAUUCGGAGGUA